AGAGUUUGAUCAUGGCUCAGAUUGAACGCUGGCGGCAGGCCUAACACAUGCAAGUCGAACGGUAACAGGAAGAAGCUUGCUUCUUCGCUGACGAGUGGCGGACGGGUGAGUAAUGUCUGGGAAACUGCCUGAUGGAGGGGGAUAACUACUGGAAACGGUAGCUAAUACCGCAUAACGUCGCAAGACCAAAGAGGGGGACCUUCGGGCCUCUUGCCAUCGGAUGUGCCCAGAUGGGAUUAGCUAGUAGGUGGGGUAACGGCUCACCUAGGCGACGAUCCCUAGCUGGUCUGAGAGGAUGACCAGCCACACUGGAACUGAGACACGGUCCAGACUCCUACGGGAGGCAGCAGUGGGGAAUAUUGCACAAUGGGCGCAAGCCUGAUGCAGCCAUGCCGCGUGUAUGAAGAAGGCCUUCGGGUUGUAAAGUACUUUCAGCGGGGAGGAAGGGAGUAAAGUUAAUACCUUUGCUCAUUGACGUUACCCGCAGAAGAAGCACCGGCUAACUCCGUGCCAGCAGCCGCGGUAAUACGGAGGGUGCAAGCGUUAAUCGGAAUUACUGGGCGUAAAGCGCACGCAGGCGGUUUGUUAAGUCAGAUGUGAAAUCCCCGGGCUCAACCUGGGAACUGCAUCUGAUACUGGCAAGCUUGAGUCUCGUAGAGGGGGGUAGAAUUCCAGGUGUAGCGGUGAAAUGCGUAGAGAUCUGGAGGAAUACCGGUGGCGAAGGCGGCCCCCUGGACGAAGACUGACGCUCAGGUGCGAAAGCGUGGGGAGCAAACAGGAUUAGGUACCCUGGUAGUCCACGCCGUAAACGAUGUCGACUUGGAGGUUGUGCCCUUGAGGCGUGGCUUCCGGAGCUAACGCGUUAAGUCGACCGCCUGGGGAGUACGGCCGCAAGGUUAAAACUCAAAUGAAUUGACGGGGGCCCGCACAAGCGGUGGAGCAUGUGGUUUAAUUCGAUGCAACGCGAAGAACCUUACCUGGUCUUGACAUCCACGGAAGUUUUCAGAGAUGAGAAUGUGCCUUCGGGAACCGUGAGACAGGUGCUGCAUGGCUGUCGUCAGCUCGUGUUGUGAAAUGUUGGGUUAAGUCCCGCAACGAGCGCAACCCUUAUCCUUUGUUGCCAGCGGUCCGGCCGGGAACUCAAAGGAGACUGCCAGUGAUAAACUGGAGGAAGGUGGGGAUGACGUCAAGUCAUCAUGGCCCUUACGACCAGGGCUACACACGUGCUACAAUGGCGCAUACAAAGAGAAGCGACCUCGCGAGAGCAAGCGGACCUCAUAAAGUGCGUCGUAGUCCGGAUUGGAGUCUGCAACUCGACUCCAUGAAGUCGGAAUCGCUAGUAAUCGUGGAUCAGAAUGCCACGGUGAAUACGUUCCCGGGCCUUGUACACACCGCCCGUCACACCAUGGGAGUGGGUUGCAAAAGAAGUAGGUAGCUUAACCUUCGGGAGGGCGCUUACCACUUUGUGAUUCAUGACUGGGGUGAAGUCGAAACAAGGUA
rnacentral:rRNA from 1 species